rnacentral:lncRNA from 1 species
AGGAGAUGGUGUGGGGGCUUCAGCCUCUGACACACACUACACCCCCAAAAAGGACCAACAAAAAUGAACUCCAAUCCGAAAAUGACAGCCUCUUGCUGCACAAAUGCUGAGUGUAACGUUGCUAUGUUUCUUUGCCUUACUCUGUGCCAGAAUGCGGCCCCUCUAGCCCUUGACUUGGAAAAUCUGGAGCUACCACUGAAGUCAACAAUGGCUACUGAAGGCACAAAAGGCCGUACAUGGUGGGUGAGGGGGGCUCAAGAACCGGAGAAGUGGAGUCGCCAGGCCUCAGAACAGCGCCAGGGAUCUGGGGAGCAGGAACUACCAGAGGUUCCAGAAGGAGAGGUGUCCACCCAGGCCCCUGCCUGCAGAUCUGCAUUCCGCCCACCAUGUGGACUGAAGGCUGUCUCCUCCAUGGCCUUGCACCUUGCUCGGGACUCCUGUGACAUUUUAUCUGUGACCCUUUUUCAAAAUAACACAUAUUUUCAUAGAAAUAGAUCAUUUGUUAUCUCUCUGGGUCAUUUCUAAAAAGGUUUUUUUUUCUUUUUUUUGAGACAGGGUCUUGCUCUGUUGCCCAGGUUAAAGUACAGCAGUGCUAUCUUGGCUCAUUGCAGCCUCAACCUCCUGGGAUCCUCCCACCUCAGCCUCCCAGGUAGCUAGGACUGCGGGAAUGCACCACCACACCUGGCUAAUUUUUACAUUUUUUGUAGAGAUGGGGUUUUGCCCUGUUACCCAGGCUGGUCUCAAACUCCUGACCUCAAGCAAUCAGCCCACCUUGGCCUCCCAAAGUGCUGGGAUUACAGGUGUGAGCCACUGUGCCUGGCCUAAAAUGUUUUGUCUUGUUUUUAAACUCUUGGUAAAAGAAGCCAUUUGUGGUCAGGCACAGUGGCUCACACCUAUAAUCCUAGCACUUUAGGAGGCCUAGGCGGGCAGAUCACAAGGUCAGGAGAUCGAAACCAUCCUGGCUAACACAGUGAAACCCCGUCUCUAUUAAAAAUACAAAAAAUUAACUGGGAGUGGUGGCGGGCACCUGUAAUCCCAGCUACUCGGGAGGUUGAGGCAGGAGAAUAACUUGAAC